rnacentral:rRNA from 1 species
UAGGGAAUCUUCCGCAAUGGACGCAAGUCUGACGGAGCAACGCCGCGUGAGUGAAGAAGGAUUUCGGUUCGUAAAACUCUGUUGUUAGAGAAGAACAGCGCAUAGAGUAACUGUUAUGCGUGUGACGGUAUCUAACCAGAAAGCCACGGCUAACUACGUGCCAGCAGCCGCGGUAAUACGUAGGUGGCAAGCGUUGUCCGGAUUUAUUGGGCGUAAAGCGAGCGCAGGCGGUUAGAAAAGUCUGAAGUGAAAGGCAGUGGCUCAACCAUUGUAGGCUUUGGAAACUGUUUAACUUGAGUGCAGAGGGGGAGAGUGGAAUUCCAUGUGUAGCGGUGAAAUGCGUAGAUAUAUGGAGGAACACCGGUGGCGAAGGCGACUCUCUAGUCUGUAACUGACGCUGAGGCUCGAAAGCGUGGGGAGCGAACAGG